AUUAAUAUGAUAUUGCCAGAUGGAAGAAAAUAACAAGGUAGGCCUAAACUGUAAUAAGAUAUAUCUUAUAGACUGCUUCAGUGCAUUUGGAAAGUAUUCAGACCCCUUGACUUUUUACACAUUUCAUUUUUUACAUUACAGCCUUAUUCUAAAAUGGAUUAACAUACAACAUUUUCCUCAUCAAUCUACACACAAUAUCCUAUAAUGACAAAGCAAAAACAGUUUAGACAUUUUUGCAAUUUAAAAACAGAAAUACCUUAUUUACAUAAGUAUUCAAACCCUUUGCUAUGAGACUCGAAAUUGAGCACCGGUGCAUCCUGUUUCCCUUGAUCAUCCUUGAGGUAUUUCUACAACAUGAUUGGAGUCCACCUGUGGUAAAUUCAAUUGAUUGGACAUCUAUUGGAAAGGCACAUACCUACGGUCCCACAGUUGACAGUGCAAAAAUCUAUUUUAAUUCCAGGUUAUAAGGCAACAAAAUAGGGAAAACGCAAGCCACUGUAAAUGGUUCAGUUCACAUAAACAGUCAUUAUUUUCAGUUUGAGAGAUCAUCCCGGGCUUUGCCCCGUCUGCUGUAGCUGAGAUGUCCCUGGAGGACAUAGAACAACAAGACUAUGAUGUUUCUGACACUGAGAGAGUCAGGUAAGGCCACUUACACUCUGUCCAGUUAAAUAUUUGUGUGGAGAUUAAGAGAGAGAGACUAAUAAGAGAGAACUUGUUAUGGGGCAGGUCAGGCGUCAUUCAUGGAGUCAUUUGUAGGGUCAAGUCCCCAGCCAAUCUAUUUGAACCGCUCAUUAUUUGUGGCCAUGUAUUAACUACUAAGUGAGUCUUUGACAUGAAGACAGUGGUUAGAUUCUGCCAUGGGGACCUGCUCUGAUGUUGUUUCCAUUCUCUCCUGGUUAUGACCAUAGAGCCUUGUCCCAGUCUCUAGACCUGCCUGUCUAUGUGAUGGAUGACCACCUGACCUCUGAAGCUGUCAAUGAGAUGGAGCAGAGCAAGUCUACCAGGAGUAGAGCAACCUCAGUGAUGGAAACUACAGAAGAGGGGAAGCUCAACAAUGUGGAACAUCUGACACUUAUGGACUUCCUUCAAAACCUAACUGAGAAGUAUGUUCUGUUUUCUUUGGUACUAUCACACCUUCAAGGAAAUAAGAUCAAAUUAGAAACUGAUCAAUCGGGAAAAAAAAAUUCAUUGCUAGAAAAGUUGUCACAUUGCAAUUUUGCCAAAACAACUGACACAAAGCAAGUAUAACUUCACGAUCAGGCAAAUAAUUAAAUAAAAA
rnacentral:lncRNA from 1 species